rnacentral:rRNA from 1 species
GCAUAUCAAUAAGCGGAGGAAAAGAAACCAACAGGGAUUGCCCUAGUAACGGCGAGUGAAGCGGCAACAGCUCAAAUUUGAAAUCUGGCGCAAGCCCGAGUUGUAAUUUGUAGAGGAUGCUUCUGGGCAGCGGCCGGUCUAAGUUCCUUGGAACAGGACGUCAUAGAGGGUGAGAAUCCCGUAUGCGACCGGCUUGCACCCGUCACGUAGCUCCUUCGACGAGUCGAGUUGUUUGGGAAUGCAGCUCUAAAUGGGAGGUAAAUUUCUUCUAAGGCUAAAUACCGGCCAGAGACCGAUAGCGCACAAGUAGAGUGAUCGAAAGAUGAAAAGCACUUUGGAAAGAGAGUUAAAAAGCACGUGAAAUUGUUGAAAGGGAAGCUCACGCAACCAGACUUGUCGGCGGUGUUCCGCCGGUCUUCUGACCGGUCUAUUCGCCGCCGGCAGGCCAGCAUCACUUGGGAGCGCCGGAUAAAGGCGUGCGGAAUGUAGCCCCUCGGGGCAUUAUAGCCGCGCGCACAAUACGGCGCCUCCCGAGUGAGGUCCGCGCUUCGGCUAGGAUGCUGGCGUAAUGGUUGCUUGAGGCCCGUCUUGAAACACGGACCAAGGAGUCUAACAUCUAUGCGAGUGUUCGGGUGUCAAACCCCUACGCGGAAUGAAAGUGAACGGAGGUGGGAACCGCAAGGUGCACCAUCGACCGAUCCUGAUGUCUUCGGAUGGAUUCGAGUAAGAGCAUAGCUGUUGGGACCCGAAAGAUGGUGAACUAUGCCUGAAUAGGGUGAAGCCAGAGGAAACUCUGGUGGAGGCUCGCAGCGGUUCUGACGUGCAAAUCGAUCGUCAAAUUUGGGUAUAGGGGCGAAAGACUAAUCGAACCAUCUAGUAGCUGGUUCCUGCCGA